UGGGAAGGGGAGUAAAAGGGACCCCCUGGGGACAUCGGGGGGGAUUUGGGGGCCCCUGGGUUCCCAAAUGAUCACAAAUCCUGCAGGAUCCCAAAGAAUGAUCCCAAAUGAUCUCAAAUCCCAAAUCCUGCAUCCCAAAAAAUCCCAGAUCCCGAAUGCUGCUGGAGACACAAAACCAAUCCCAAAAAAUCCCAGAUCCCAAAUCCUGCUGGAUCCCAAGGAGUAGUCCCAAAUUACCUCAAACUCUGGAUCCCAAGCAAUCCCAAAAUUACACCAAAUCCCGGAUCCCAAGCAGUAUUAAAUUCCAGAUCCCAAAUCUUGAUGGAUCCUAAGGCGUAGUCCCAAAUGAUCUCAAAUCCUGGAUCCCAAGCAAUCCCAAAUCACAGAUCUCAAAUCCUACUGGACAAUCAAAACCAGCUCUAAAUCCUCUCAAAUCCCAAACUCUGAAUCCCAAAAAAUCCCAGAUCCCAAAUGCUGCCAGAUACCCCAAAUCUGAUUCUGAAAGAUCUCCAGCCCUGGGUCCCCAAACAAUCCCAAAUCCCAAACCCCAAAUCCUGCUGGAUCUCCAGAAACAAUCCCAAAAACCAAUUCCGAAUCAGGGUCCUGGCAGGGGAAAUCAGAGCCCUGGGUGGGGUAAAUGGGCCCUGAGGGGGUCAGUGGGGUCCUGGAAGGAUGAAUGGGGUCCUGGAAGGGUAAAUGGGAUCCUGAGGGGUUAAAUGAGGGCCCUGAGGGGUAAGUGGGGUCCUGAAAGGAUGAAUGGGGGUAAAUCAGGGUCCUGGCAAGGGAAAUCAGGGCCUUGAGGGGUCAGUGGGGUCCUGGCAGGGAAAUGGAGCCCUGGGGGGUGGACUCGGGCCCCGAGGGGUUAAAGCCAGCCCCGAAAGGUUCCCUGAGGUCCUGGCAGGGCCAGUUCUGCCCCUCGGGGGAGGAUCAGGGCGUGGGGCCCUCCCUCCUCCCAGCCUCGACGCCCUCUGCCCUCAGAGCUCUGGCCGCAGCUUCCGGAGGGGGACAGGGAUGGAGUCCAAGGUGUCCCCUCCUGCCCUCCCUCCCGAGGUGGCCACGGCGGAGGCCGCACGGCACAGGGCCCUGGCGGCCCUGGUGGCCCUGGCCGAGGCCUUGGGGACACCGGACAGCGUCCCUGUGGCUCUGGCCGAGGCCGAGGCCGCACUGAGCCAGGCCCAGGGGGCCCUGAAGGGGCUGGAGGCAGCCCGGGAGGCCGCAGUGGCCCCGGCGGUGGCCCUGGGGACCCUGGGGGAUGAGGACGAGCAGCGGCUGCGGCGGCUCAGGACCAUGGCCGAGGCGGCGGCGGCGGCGCUGGGACGCGAGGAGGGACGGGCACGGCAGCGGCAGCGCUGGCUGCGGGCUGGGCACGGGGUCACCAUGGGGCUGAUGCUGCUGUGCGCGGCUGUGCUGUCCCUGGACUCGGCCCGCAGUGCCCUGGGGGUGGCCGAGGACAGUCACCUGCUGCUGGCCCUGACGGUGGUGGCCGUGUCCUGCGAGGUGGCCUGGCGGGGCUUGGAGACAUCGCGGCGUCACCUGGCCACCGCCGCGGGCCACCAGCAGGACAUGGCCCUGCGCCUGCGGGACCGCGCCCGGCGGGUGGCGGCCACCAGGGCCAGCGCCGAGGCCACCGCGGCCACCAACGAGGCCACGGCGGAUGUGCUGGGGCGGCUGGAGGAGGCGACGCUGAACCUGGGGAAGUUGGUGGCCGCUGUCACCCGGGACAGGGAGGUGACGCCGUGGGGGACACGGAGACAGGGCUUCCCCAGCGCUGCCCGGGUGCUUGGGGACAUCGUGGUGGCCUUGGGGACAUCGGGGGAGGAGCAGGAGGUGGUACGGAGGCUGGAGGUGGCCCAGGGGGCGCUGGCGGGGCAGGGGUAGGGCCGGGGUGGGGACACGGGGGUGGCAUUGUCACCACCGGCGCACGGGGACACCCCGAGGGACACUGGGGACUUUGGGGCCACCCUCGUGUCCUUCCCUUGGGGACAUCGGGACCGCCCUGACGUGCCCUGUCCCGUUUUGGGUCACCACGAUGUCCCCGCAGUGUCCCCAACGGGACCGCGGUGUGUCCCCAGUGUCCCCAGCGGGACAUGGAGGGACACAGGGCGGCAGCUGGGGACACCGCGGGGACAUCGCGGGGUGCCCGCCCCGGCCCCGCGGGCGGGGGGGCGGGGACGUCUCCUCGCCCUGCCCCCAUCCGGCCGCGUCCCGCGUGUCCCCCGGGCGUGUCCCCCCCUCCCCGCCACGUCUCUCGGAGUGUCCCCGGAGCGUCCCCGGAGUGUCCCCAGCGGUCAUGGAGCCCCGCGAGCUGCUGGAGGCGCUGGUGGCCGUGGUGGCCAGGCUUGGUGAGCUGGCAGCCACCGUGGCCGGGCCGUACGGGGACGUGCUGCUGGCCGUGCCCCCAGAGUCCCUGCAAAAGGCCCUGGGGACCUUCAUCGGCCACC